AAGUCGUAACAAGGUCUCCGUAGGUGAACCUGCGGAGGGAUCAUUACUGAGUUCGGGGGCAAUCCCAGUCCCGACCUCCAACCCUUUGUUGUUAAAACUACCUUGUUGCUUUGGCGGGACCGCUCGGUCUUGAGCCGCUGGGGAUUCGUCCCAGGCGAGCGCCCGCCAGAGUUAAACCAAACUCUUGUUAUUUAACCGGUCGUCUGAGUUAAAAUUUUGAAUAAAUCAAAA
rnacentral:misc_RNA from 1 species